rnacentral:rRNA from 1 species
CCACUCGGGUAAGUAGCCGGGCCGACUCUGGAAGGAACUGCCAUCGACAAGAAUGGAGGAAGGUAGGGGAGUGACGUCAAGUCAUCACUGGCCCUUAUGUCCAGGGCGACACACGUGCUACAAUGGCCGGCACAACGGGAAGCGAGUUCGCGAGGACGAGCGGAUCCCUCAAAGCCGGUCGCAGUUCGGAUUGAAGUCUGCAACUCGACUUCAUGAAGCUGGAAUCGCUAGUAAUCGUGGAUCAGCCAAGCCGCGGUGAAUACGUUCCCGGGCCUU